UACGGAGGAUCCGAGCGUUAUCCGGAUUUAUUGGGUUUAAAGGGUGCGCAGGCGGGGUGUUAAGUCGGCGGUGAAAUUUUGCAGCUCAACUGUAAAAGUGCCUUCGAUACUGGCUUUCUUGAGUGUGGAUGAAGUAGGCGGAAUUUGUGGUGUAGCGGUGAAAUGCUUAGAUAUCACGAGGAACUCCGAUUGCGCAGGCAGCUUACUAAACCACUACUGACGCUCAUGCACGAAGGCGUGGGGAUCAAACAGGAUUAGAUACCCU
rnacentral:rRNA from 1 species